GGAGCAACGCCGCGUGAGGGAGGAAGGCUCUUGGGUUGUAAACCUCUUUUAUCAAGGAAGAUAAUGACGGUACUUGAUGAAUCAGCAUCGGCUAACUCCGUGCCAGCAGCCGCGGUAAUACGGAGGAUGCAAGCGUUAUCCGGAAUAAUUGGGCGUAAAGCGUUCGUAGGUGGUUCUGUAAGUCUGCUGUUAAAGCGUGUAGCUCAACUACAUAUAGGCGGUGGAAACUACAAAACUUGAGUGCGUUCGGGGUAGAGGGAAUUCCUGGUGUAGCGGUGAAAUGCGUAGAGAUCAGGAAGAACACCGGUGGCGAAGGCGCUCUACUAGACCGCAACUGACACUGAGGGACGAAAGCUAGGGGAGCGAAUGGGAUUAGAUACCCCAGUAGUC
rnacentral:rRNA from 1 species